GAGAGUGUAGUAUAAUGGUAGUAUAGCGGUCUCCAAAACUGUUGGUGGGUGUUCAAAUCAUCUCGCUCUUG
rnacentral:tRNA from 2 species